GAUGAACGCUGGCGGCGUGCCUAAUACAUGCAAGUCGAGCGAACAGACGAGGAGCUUGCUCCUCUGGCGUUAGCGGCGGACGGGUGAGUAACACGUGGAUAACCUACCUAUAAGACUGGGAUAACUUCGGGAAACCGGAGCUAAUACCGGAUAAUAUAUUGAACCGCAUGGUUCAAUAGUGAAAGACGGUUUUGCUGUCACUUAUAGAUGGAUCCGCGCCGCAUUAGCUAGUUGGUAAGGUAACGGCUUACCAAGGCAACGAUGCGUAGCCGACCUGCGAGGGUGGUCGGCCACACUGGAACUGGAACACGGUCCAGACUCCUACGGGAGGCAGCAGUAGGGAAUCUUCCGCAAUGGGCGAAAGCCUGACGGAGCAACGCCGCGUGAGUGAUGAAGGUCUUCGGAUCGUAAAACUCUGUUAUUAGGGAAGAACAAAUGUGUAAGUAACUAUGCACGUCUUGACGGUACCUAAUCAGAAAGCCACGGCUAACUACGUG
rnacentral:rRNA from 1 species